rnacentral:rRNA from 1 species
GACGAACGCUGGCGGCGUGCCUAAUACAUGCAAGUCGAACGCAUUUUCUUUCACCGUAGCUUGCUACACCGAAAGAAAAUGAGUGGCGAACGGGUGAGUAACACGUGGGUAACCUGCCCAUCAGCGGGGGAUAACACUUGGAAACAGGUGCUAAUACCGCAUAAUUCCAUUUACUGCAUGGUAGAUGGAUGAAAGGCGCUUUUGCGUCACUGAUGGAUGGACCCGCGGUGCAUUAGCUAGUUGGUGGGGUAACGGCCUACCAAGGCUGCGAUGCAUAGCCGACCUGAGAGGGUGAUCGGCCACACUGGGACUGAGACACGGCCCAGACUCCUACGGGAGGCAGCAGUAGGGAAUCUUCGGCAAUGGACGCAAGUCUGACCGAGCAACGCCGCGGGAGUGAAGAAGGGUUUCGGAUCGUAAAACUCUGUUGUUAGAAAAGAACAAGGAUGAGAGUGGAAAGUUCAUCCCUUGACGGUAUCUAACCAGAAAGCCACGGCUAACUACGUG